UUACGGUCAAAUCACGCUGAAAACACCGGUUCUCGUUCGAUCACCAGUUAAGCAUCGUAGAGCCAGGUCAGUACUUAGAUGGGGACCGCUUGGGAACACCUGGUACUGUAAG
rnacentral:rRNA from 1 species